rnacentral:rRNA from 1 species
UGUAUAAUGGGUCAGCGACUUAUAUUCUGUAGCAAGGUUAACCGAAUAGGGGAGCCGAAGGGAAACCGAGUCUUAACUGGGCGUUAAGUUGCAGGGUAUAGACCCGAAACCCGGUGAUCUAGCCAUGGGCAGGUUGAAGGUUGGGUAACACUAACUGGAGGACCGAACCGACUAAUGUUGAAAAAUUAGCGGAUGACUUGUGGCUGGGGGUGAAAGGCCAAUCAAACCGGGAGAUAGCUGGUUCUCCCCGAAAGCUAUUUAGGUAGCGCCUCGUGAAUUCAUCUCCGGGGGUAGAGCACUGUUUCGGCAAGGGGGUCAUCCCGACUUACCAACCCGAUGCAAACUGCGAAUACCGGAGAAUGUUAUCACGGGAGACACACGGCGGGUGCUAACGUCCGUCGUGAAGAGGGAAACAACCCAGACCGCCAGCUAAGGUCCCAAAGUCAUGGUUAAGUGGGAAACGAUGUGGGAAGGCCCAGACAGCCAGGAUGUUGGCUUAGAAGCAGCCAUCAUUUAAAGAAAGCGUAAUAGCUCACUGGUCGAGUCGGCCUGCGCGGAAGAUGUAACGGGGCUAAACCAUGCACCGAAGCUGCGGCAGCGACACUAUGUGUUGUUGGGUAGGGGAGCGUUCUGUAAGCCUGUGAAGGUGUACUGUGAGGUAUGCUGGAGGUAUCAGAAGUGCGAAUGCUGACAUAAGUAACGAUAAAGCGGGUGAAAAGCCCGCUCGCCGGAAGACCAAGGGUUCCUGUCCAACGUUAAUCGGGGCAGGGUGAGUCGACCCCUAAGGCGAGGCCGAAAGGCGUAGUCGAUGGGAAACAGGUUAAUAUUCCUGUACUUGGUGUUACUGCGAAGGGGGGACGGAGAAGGCUAUGUUGGCCGGGCGACGGUUGUCCCGGUUUAAGCGUGUAGGCUGAUUUUCCAGGUAAAUCCGGAAAAUCAAGGCUGAGGCGUGAUGACGAGGCACU